UACGAAGGGGGCUAGCGUUGUUCGGAAUUACUGGGCGUAAAGCGCACGUAGGCGGACUAUUAAGUCAGGGGUGAAAUCCCGGGGCUCAACCCCGGAACUGCCUUUGAUACUGGUAGUCUCGAGUCCUGAAGAGGUGAGUGGAAUUCCGAGUGUAGAGGUGAAAUUCGUAGAUAUUCGGAGGAACACCAGUGGCGAAGGCGGCUCACUGGUCCGGUACUGACGCUGAGGUGCGAAAGCGUGGGGAGCAAACAGG
rnacentral:rRNA from 1 species